UGGAGGGAAAAGAAAGAAAAAAAAAAUUGAUCAGGAGUGUUUUGUUUUGUUGUAAGGUAUGGCAAUAUCAUUUAGAUAUCUCAGCUUUAAUAUCAGGAGUAGUCUCAGUCAAGAAGGAAGGCAGGUUGCAUAGGAAGAGGGUUUCUCUUGAAAUAACAUGACUUAAAAACUGGUGAAUAAAAAUGUGUUUUGUAGCUCCCAGAGAAAAUAGUAGAGAGUAUCAUCUCUAUCAGGUUUACAUUUUACUCAGUACAGUAAUAAUUAGCUUGAUCUCUUUCAGUUCACAUGGUGUCUAUUUUACUCAGGUCUGUGAAUAUGUAGAUGGCAGGGUAAUAAUAGACAGUCUCUAUUCUUUCUGUGUACUGUCUCCAAUUGUUUUCCAGCUUGCUUGAAAUAGUUAUGCCUUAUUUUCUUUAAAAUAUUGCUCUUGGGAAUGGCUUUUGCUAUUUUUUUUUCCUCCCCUUAUCAAAUCAUCUCACUUGUUUUAUCCCAUGACUACUUCACAAUCUGUUUUUCUAUGUUCUCCUUUGGGUCAUUUUAAUUCCACCUUGUCUAUGUAUGUUGUGUGAUGGCUGUAUAAAACUACUGUAAUAUUGCCUGAAUAAGGACAACAAAUUAGUUAGUAAAUUUCUAGCAGUGUGAGGGCUAUUUUCCUAGACCUGUAAUAUCUUGAAAUAUUACAGUUUGAGAGGGGAAACAAAGUGACAUAGUGUUUACUUGUUGUUUAUUAUAUAGAGAGCUUAAUAUCUCAGCAUAUAAAUUAAGGUUAUUAACAAAUGAAAACUCAUGAUAACAUUAGUCUGUAGAUAACCCCAGUGACCCUGAAUGGUGAGCCAUUUUGUAUGUUGUUGUUUUCUCAUUAUGUACUGUAAUAUAAUAUUCAGAAAUAAUUAACUAGUAAUAUGAGGUCCAUAUUCUUUUAACUUCAAUUUGAAAAUCUCUUUGUUUUAUAAAACUGAAGAAACUGAAGUGCAUGCAAUGUAUUUAAAAUUUCAUAGUCUAUAUGAUCUAUACACAUAUAUUUAUCAAAUUGUUGUUUCCUAAUGAAUCACUAAAUUCUGCUAGGCAACUGUUAAUACAAAGCAUGCUCAAAGAUUUAAUCACAGAAUCAUAGAAUCAUUUAGGUUGGAAAAGAUCUCUAAGAUCAUCUAGUCCAACCUUUUUAUGUAUUUGUAUUAAAUAUAUGUAUAAAUGUAUAAAUAUAUAAAAUGUAUAAAUAAUACAUUUGUAUUGUUAUACGUUAUGAUUAAAGUUGCUUCCACUGCUUUCUUCACAUCUAUUGCUUACCUGACCGAAUUUCAGUGCACCUUAAACACAAGUAUUUAAUUAGAUUUUCUAACUGAAGGGUAAAUUGUCCUGGGCCUUUCUUAGACAAGCUUCUUUAGGAGUUAU
rnacentral:lncRNA from 1 species